GGGCGACUAGCUCAGCUGGUUAGAGCACUUCACUGAUAAUGAAGAGGUCUCAGGUUCAAGUCCUGAGUCGCCCA
rnacentral:tRNA from 1 species